rnacentral:tRNA from 1 species
GGGGGUGUAACUCAGUUGGUAGAGUGCUUGCCUAAAAUUCACAAGGCUCUAGGUUCAAUCCCCAGCACGACCA